AGGUGAACUGCGGAAGGAUCAUUGUCGAAACCUGCGAGGCAGACCCGCGAACGCGUGCUCCAACGUCGGCGCCGCGGGCCCGGCCGCGGUGCCCGCCGCCCCCCGCGCCCACGGCGCGGGGGCGGCCAAUGAACCCCGGCGCGGAACGCGCCAAGGAAAACCAAAACGAAGCGCCCACCCUCCCCCGUCCGCGGGGGAGGGGCGGCCGCCCCUCAUGUGUAUAACACGUCAAAACGACUCUCGGCAACGGAUAUCUCGGCUCUCGCAUCGAUGAAGAACGUAGCGAAAUGCGAUACUUGGUGUGAAUUGCAGAAUCCCGUGAACCAUCCAGUCUUUGAACGCAAGUUGCGCCCGAAGCCUUCGGGCCGAGGGCACGCCUGCCUGGGCGUCACGCAUCGCGUCGCCCCCCCCAGCCCCGCCCGUUCCGGGCGGCGCGCGAGGGGGUGCGGAGAAUGGCCUCCCGUGCGCACCCGUCGCGCGGCCGGCCCAAAUGCGAUCCCCCGGCGGCGCCCGUCGCGACCAGUGGUGGUUGAACAACAUACUCAACUCGCGCGCUGUAAGUCGUGCGGAGCGGCGUCGUCCGGCCAGGGCAUCGAACGAAACGACCCAAUCGGCGCCUCGGCGCCUCCGACCGCGACCCCAGGUCAGGCGGGAUUACCCG
rnacentral:rRNA from 1 species